rnacentral:rRNA from 1 species
CAUGUCCUUUUGAUAAUAAUUUAAGGUCUGAUCUGCUCAAUGAAAUUUAAAUUGCCGCAGUAUUUUGACUGUGCAAAGGUAGCAUAAUAAUUAGUUUUUUAAUUAAGAACUGGUAUGAAUGAUUGGACAAGAAAAUUACUGUCUCUUUUUUAAUUUUUAUUGAACUUUAUUUUUAAGUGAAAAAGCUUAAAUUUUUGUAAAAGACGAGAAGACCCUAUAGAGUUUAAUAUUCUUAACUAUUUAAAUAUAGAAUUCUUUUUUGUUAAGGUUUAUUUGGUUGGGGUGAUUUGAAGAUUGAAUUAAUUCUUUAACUGUAAAAUUAGUGAUUUCUAAAAUAAAAUUCUAUAAUUUGUAAGUUUAAAAUAAAUUACCUUAGGGAUAACAGCGUAAUUUUUCUUUAAAGUUCUUAUUAAAAGAAAAGUUUGCGACCUCGAUGUUGGAUUAAAAUUAAUUUUUGGUGCAAUAACUUAAGAAUUAGGUCUGUUCGACCUUUAAAAUUUUACAUGAUCUGAGUUUAAACCGGUGUAAACCAGGUUGGAUUCUAUCUUUAAAUAAUUAUAAUAUUUUAGUACGAAAGGACCAAAUAUUUGUUAAAUUAAUUG